rnacentral:rRNA from 1 species
AACGAACGCUGGCGGCAGGCCUAACACAUGCAAGUCGAGCGAGGACUUCGGGCCUAGCGGCGGACGGGUGAGUAACGCGUGGGAACGUGCCCCUUGGUACGGAAUAGCCCCGGGAAACUGGGAGUAAUACCGUAUGUGCCCUUCGGGGGACAGAUUUAUCGCCAAAGGAUCGGCCCGCGUUGGAUUAGAUAGUUGGUGGGGUAAUUGCCUACCAAGCCGACGGUCCAUAGCUGGUUUGAGAGGAUGAUCCGCCACACUGGGACUGAGACACGGCCCAGACUCCUACGGGAGGCAGCAGUGGGGAAUCUUAGACAAUGGGGGAAACCCUGAUCUAGCCAUGCCGCGUGAUCGAUGAAGGCCUUAGGGUUGUAAAGAUCUUUCAGUGGGGAAGAUAAUGACUGUACCCACAGAAGAAGCCCCGGCUAACUCCGUGCCAGCCGCCGCCGUAACAC